UUCAACCUACGGGGGGCAGCAGUAGGGAAUUUUCGUCAAUGGGCGCAAGCCUGAACGAGCAAUGCCGCGUGAACGAGGAAGGUCUUCGGAUCGUAAAGUUCUGUUGAAGGGGAAAAAGAGCGGAGAGAGGAAAUGCUUUCUGAUUGAUAUUACCCUUCGAGGAAGUCACGGCUAACUACGUGCCAGCAGCCGCGGUAAUACGUAGGUGGCGAGCGUUAUCCGGAAUGAUUGGGCGUAAAGGGUGCGUAGGUGGUCUCUUAAGUCAGAGGUGAAAGGCUACGGCUCAACCGUAGUAAGCCUUUGAA
rnacentral:rRNA from 1 species